GAGACUUGGGCACCCUAUCUGAGCAUGUAUCAUCAGGUACAUUCUUUGGAAAACACCCAUCCUUGCAGGCUAGCACUUAUUCUCUUUGAUCUUCAACGAAAGCAAUGUGAUUAUGGACCACAUAACACUAGUGCAGCUACAAAUCAAAAGUUUGAGGGGGAUCACUGGAAGAGGCAGAAGGUUUUGAUGCAUGAUGUUACUAACAUUGGAAAGGAAUGAAGAAGAACGCUGCAUUGAAGAAUGUGGCAAAUGAAACAGUAGUGGCAAUGAUCAAUUAAUGCAGAUACUACUGUGUAAGUUGAUGCAGUCGAUUUGAACUGCUCCGCUUGGCAGGGUGCAAUUUCUCUUUGUUACUAUCAUGAUCUUGUCAGGAAAAUAUUGUUUGUUGAAUUCCUUCUUUUUAAAAUUCCUUGCCAGUGCAUGAGAGGGUGAGUGAGCA